GUCGCUAUAGCGUGGGUUAUAGUUCAGAAACGCAAAGCCUCGCGCCUGAUCGAUGGUGUGAAACAGCGGGUUCCAAUCAAACAUCGCCAGCAUGAAGCCAGGAAGGGUGUUUGCAACAAACAUCUUGCCAGAGGCAAUCAUAUUGGCGCGUUG
rnacentral:ncRNA from 1 species